GACGUAGGGGGCAAGCGUUGUCCGGAUUCAUUGGGCGUAAAGAGCUCGUAGGCGGCUUGGCAAGUCAGAUGUGAAACCCUCAGGCUUAACCUGGGGCCGCCAUCUGAUACUGCUAUGGCUAGAGUCCGGUAGGGGAUCGUGGAAUUCCUGGAGUAGCGGUGAAAUGCACAGAUCUCAGGAGGAACACCAGUGGCGAAGGUGGCGAUCGGGGCCGGUACUGACUAUGAGGAGCGAAAGCGUGGGGAGCAAACAGG
rnacentral:rRNA from 1 species